AACGUGUAAGCAUGCGCAGCCCUGUAACAGCUGUGGAUAAACUGUAGGUUUGGGCUAAUAUAAAAACUUCUGUUCACAAUAAAAUUUUCGCGUGGUUUUUCUUUCGAUAACGCAGCCAAACUCAACGUGGGCGAGGCAGAUCCAAGGUCCUGAGAAUUAGACGUGAUCGAUCAAAUGUGGACGUGAAUAGCGAUGAACAACCAAAUACGACAGCCAUAUGAGGGCCUCCUACACAAAUAUACAAACGCCAUGAAAGGAUGGCAAUAUCGAUGGUUUAUUUUGAGUCCUGAGACUGGGGAGUUACAUUACUUUUUGAGUGAAUCGGAAAAAAAUCAAAGACCACGCUGCUCAAUUUACUUAGCUGGUGCUGUUAUUGCACCAAGUGAUGAGGACUCAAAUACGUUCACAGUCAACUCAGCAACAGGUGAUAUGAUAAAAUUACGAGCCACAGAUGCUCGGGCUCGCCAGGAGUGGGUGGACAAGUUACGGGCAGUUACCGAGAUGUAUACACGUGCUAUAGCUAGCAGUCAUCCACCCUUGCCACCACGAGAGCAUUCUGCAAACCCAGUCAGAGCUCCUGUAGCAAAACUUGAAGUUCUUGAUGCAUUUGCCAAUUGUCAAGAGCAAUUGAACAAGGCUGAAAAACACAAUGCUUUGGUUGCUCAAGCAAUUGAGAAUUCCAAACUCCACUUAGACCCAGAUUUGCUAAUGCUCAAAGCUUUGUCUCAUGGUACAUUGCACACUCUGAGUCAAUGCCUCAAUAUAUUGUAUAAAUAGUUUAUUGUUUAUCUGGUGUUCUCUACCACUUGAGACAAUAGACGAUAUAAUCCUGUGAUUGAGAGCAUGAUUGAGGUUCCCGGUUUCGUUUGAAUGCAGGAGACAUUACCUGUGACUAAUUUUUACAGGAGUGAAACUUGUACAGAUUUUUAUUGAUGUUAUAUCUGCAUAAAUAAUAGUUUGUCUGGAUAUCAUAUUCUCUCAUGUGGUUAUUGCAAGGUACGUCAAAUUUUGAUUGAUAUGGAAGAAAAAAUUAUUAUAUGAACGAACAAUUUUAGGUCUCCUGAUAUAUUUACUUCUCCUUAGAACACCCAUGUCGUAUCUCGCUAUGUAUGUAAAUAUACGAAGCAUUCAACCAACACACUAUACACCGAAAUAGAACUUAGCAGCCUCACUUUUUGACUACAAUUGAAGUGGACAUAACAAAAGCAAAAGCAACUAAAACAUCAUUGGCAUCUGAUUUGAAACUGUAGCAUCUAAAGCUCAACGUAUUCUUAAACAAUGUAUAGGAUAAUUUAGAAUUGUACCAUAUCACAAGGAGUAGAGAAUAUAUCACUGAAUGUAUCUCUGACCAAAAAUCAUAGGAGUCUUAAGAAUAAAGCAGUCUUAUUGUAC
rnacentral:misc_RNA from 1 species